AGUGAACGCUGGCGGUAGGCCUAAUACAUGCAAGUCGAACGGCAGCACAGUAAGAGCUUGCUCUUACGGGUGGCGAGUGGCGGACGGGUGAGGCAUACAUCGGAAUCUACUUUUUCGUGGGGGAUAACGUAGGGAAACUUACGCUAAUACCGCAUACGAUCUACGGGUUAAAGCAGUGGAUCUUCGCACCUUGGGCGAUUGAAUGAGCCGAUGUCGGAUUAGCUAGUUGGCGGGGUAAAGGCCCACCAAGGCGACGAUCCGUAGCUGAGCUGAGAGGAUGAUCAGCCACACUGGAACUGAGACACGGUCCAGACUCCUACGGGAGGCAGCAGUGGGGAAUAUUGGACAAUGGGCGCAAGCCUGAUCCAGCAAUACCGCGUGGGUGAAGAAGGCCUUCGGGUUGUAAAGCCCUUUUGUUGGGAAAGAAAAGCAGCAGGUUAAAACCCCGCUGUUUUGACGGUACCCAAAGAAUAAGCACCGGCUAACUUCGUG
rnacentral:rRNA from 1 species